rnacentral:misc_RNA from 1 species
AUCAAUCUAACACAUUCAAACAACACAAGAAAAAGAAAGCCAAGAAGAAAAACAAAUUAGUUAAAAUUCAGAUGCGGAAAAGAACAAAUUAAGAGAUCUCUAGCUGCAAAUGGAAGUAGCAGAACCCCAUUAAAAUCCAAACACACAUUUUUAUUGUACAAAACAAACAUUGAUGCGGAUGCAGAAUAUGCUAAGGUGCCCAGGGUCCA